rnacentral:rRNA from 1 species
UACAGAGGGUGCAAGCGUUGUUCGGAAUUAUUGGGCGUAAAGCGCGUGUAGGCGGCUCGUUAAGUCUGAUGUGAAAUCCUGCGGCUCAACCGUAGAACUGCAUCGGAAACUAGCAAGCUAGAGUACGAGAGAGGAGGGUGGAAUUCCCAGUGUAGCGGUGAAAUGUGUAGAUAUUGGGAGGAACACCGGCGGCGAAAGCGGCCCUCUGGAUCGAUACUGACGCUGAGACGCGAAAGCGUGGGGAGCAAACAGG